UAGGAAAGGUAGGAGCGAGAGGUAGAGAGGGAGGGAGGGAGAGAUCGAGGCGAGGUCUAUCCAGCAGUCGCCCAAACGCACCAGCACAGGAAGCAUCUACUCCCCUCCUCGGGCGCUCCCCUCACACACACGCCCGCACACGCUCUUUCUAGCUCUCCCACGCACGCACACGCCCACCCCCCACGCCCUGCCGCUCCCCACGCCCCCUCCAACCCUUCCCCCGUGGACUGAAGGCGCGGGGAGUCUUGGCAAAGCUCGGAAAUGUGAAAAAACUUGAACUGUUUUGCGCUGACUUUGAUUUCGAACUGUGGUGUGAAGGGGACAUUUGAGCGUGUGUGUGUGAGUGUGUGUGUGUGCGUGUGUGUGUGUACGGCGAAGGGUAUAUCGUGUGUGCGUGUGGCGUGUGCGUUUUUGAUGUCUUUGUGUGUGUGUGUGUGUACGGUUAGUGUUGCCGUGACUGUUUCUUGUGGCGUGAAGUGAUCAUUGGAGAUAGAAAAAAAAGAAGAAAAAGAAGAUAAAAAAAGACAUAGACGAGAAUAAAGAGGAGAAAGAGGAAGAAAGAUAAAGAGAGACACUGACGAUAAGAAAGAGGAGACAUAGAAGAGAGAGAAAGAGAAACAGAGAUAAAAAAAGAAAGAAGGAUUGAGAAAUUGUUACUAAAGAAGAAGAAAAAGAAGAAGAGGAAGAAUUUUUGUUUUUACUGUUUUUGAAGUGAAUUUAUUAUUAUUGUUAUUUUCUUUCUCUUCAUCGUCGCUAAUUUUUUUCUGCGUUUCUGAAAAGUUACUAAAAAAGUCCACCAUGAACGCCAGCCUCUCCUCGCUCCCCAUUGGCUCCCUGCUCUGACGUCACUUCCGUAAAACAAGCGUGACGUCACAGCAGCCCUCAGCCAAUCAGCGUCGAGGUCAUGGCUCGCGGCGGGGCGGGAAGGUGGUGACCCUCUCUUGACCUCGUCUCGGCGCUCCUGAGGUCACAUAAGGUCAAAGCCCACUCCACCCCACUCCACACACCCACCCACCCAUCCACACCACCACCCACGCCACGGCAAGCCCCCACCGCACCAUGGCCAGCGGGGAGAAGGACUGUCGGCCUAUGACCAUCACACAAAUUCGUGACACAGAUCGGGUCAACAAGGUCUUCGGAGGUUAAGGUGAAAAUGGGAGAGAAGACGCCCCCCCUUGCCAAGCCCGGCGCCAUGCCAAACAGCCACCCCCCGCGCGUCAGGCGUAUGGUCUACCAAG